GACUGAUGCCCGGUAAGAAGGUGAACGUGACAUAUGCCCUCAUCAGCUGCAAGAAAUGAUCUACGAGACAGCGUUCCAGGCUAUUGGAGACCUAAGAUGGCUGAUCCACAUGUGACUGAUGCCCGGUGAGAAGGUGAACGUGACAUAAGCCCUCGUCAGCUGCAAGAAAGAAUUUACGAGACAGGAACAGGAUGAGUAACCUGAGUACCGACCAGAAUCCUGUAUUUGCUGAUUUCAUCAUUUAAGCCCAGGAGAUGGCAUAUGGGUGUUUGGGAUACAUGUAUAAUUAAGUGUAUUCAUUAAUUACUUCUAUAUCUUGCCAUGGGGCUAUAGAUAAUCCCCUAAAAAUCCCCUGAGGACGGCGCCGUAAAGACAGUGGCGCUAGAAACGCGUUGGGCUUUAUUCUUUUGUGCUAAAAGGGGUACUCUUUUUCUCCUUGACACAUCAGGAGAUUUAUUAACAGUGAUUCUACUCUUUAUAAAUCAGUGUCGCAUUGGAGACACUGUAUUGUCUGAUUCAUAAUACAUCACUAUUGAGUGAUUUUAUGACCUUUCCUUUAUCUGGCAUUAAUAAAUGUUAAGUUUUA